GCCCAGAUAGCUCAGUUGGUAGAGCAUCAGACUUUAAAUAUGAGGGUCCAAGUUUAAUUCCCUGUUUGGAACA